rnacentral:tRNA from 1 species
GGGCGAUUAGCUCAUUUGGCUAGAGCGCCUCAUUGACGUUGAGGAGGUGAGAGGUUCGAAUCCUCUAUUGCCCACCA